rnacentral:snoRNA from 1 species
GGCGAAGAUGAAGAGUGCUGUAUAUUUCUGACACCUCUUGUAUGAGAUGAAUCAAUCGAUUCAUCAUUGAGCACAUUAAGCAACUCUCUGAGCC